UUUUCGCCUGAAUAAAAGAGGAUGAGAACCUCCGAAAGGAGGGUUGCGCCGAGCGCAGCGAGACAACGUUGCGAACGCAACGGCCCGAAGGGGACUUACGCAGUAAGCCUAAUCCUCUCUCGCCGACCA
rfam:Pantoea ananatis LMG 20103, complete genome.